GAGGUUCGAAGGCGAUCAGAUACCGCCCUAGUUCUAACCAUAAACGAUGCCAGCCAGCGAUCCGGCUGUGUUCCUCAAAUGACACGCCGGGCAGCUUCCGGGAAACCAAAGCUUUUGGGUUCCGGGGGAAGUAUGGUUGCAAAGCUUAAACUUAAAGGAAUUGACGGAAGGGCACCACAAGCCAUGGAGCAUGCGGUUCAAUUUGACUCAACACGGGAAAACUUACCUGGCCCGGACACAGGAAGGAUUGACAGAUUAAGAGCUCUUUCUUGAUUCUGUGAGUGGUGGUGCAUGGCCGUUCUUAGUUGGUGGAGUGAUUUGUCUGCUUAAUUGCGUUAACGAACGAGACUCUAGCCUACUAAAUAGACGUUCCGAUCCUCUCAGUCGGACGCUCUUCUUAGGGGGACAGGCGGCGACUAGCCGCACGAGACAGAGCAAUAACAGGUCUGUGAUGCCCUCAGAUGUCCGGGGCCACACGCGCGCUACAUUGAAGGAAUCAGCGUGUGCUUUCCCUGUCCGACAGGACUGGGUAACCCGUUGAACCUCCUUCGUGCUGGGGAUAGGGGCUUGCAAUUGUUCCCCUUGAACGAGGAAUGCCUAGUAAGCACGAGUCAUAAAUUCGUGUUGAUUAGGUCCCUGCCCUUUGUACACACCGCCCGUCGCUAUAAGCGAUUGAAUGGUUUAGUGAGGUCUUCGGACUGGCGCUCGAAUUGGCCUUCCGGUCGAGUCGACGUGCCGGAAAGAUGACCAAACUUGAUCAUUUAGAGCAUAUAAAAGUCGU
rnacentral:rRNA from 1 species